rnacentral:tRNA from 1 species
GGAAGGAUGGUCUUGUGGGCACUCAGAUUGGGACUCUGGAGUUCUGGGUUCAAUUCCUGGCCCUGCCA